rnacentral:rRNA from 1 species
CAGGACGAACGCUGGCGGCAUGCCUAACACAUGCAAGUCGAACGAGAGUAGCAAUACUCGAGUGGCGAACGGGUGAGUAACACGUGAGCAACCUGCCCUACACAACGGGAUACCUACUGGAAACAGUAGUUAAUACGGUAUAAGACCACAGUACCGCAUGAUACAGUGGUAAAAGAUUUAUCGGUGUAAGAUGGGCUCGCGGCGCAUUAGCUAGUUGGUGAGGUAACGGCUCACCAAGGCGACGAUGCGUAGCCGACCUGAGAGGGUGAUCGGCCACAUUGGGACUGAGAUACGGCCCAGACUCCUACGGGAGGCAGCAGUGGGGAAUAUUGGGCAAUGGAGGAAACUCUUUAACCCCCAGCAAUGCCGCGUGAACGAAGAAGGUCGUAAGAUUGUAAAGUUCUUUAGUCAGGGAUUAAUAAAUGAAAGAUCUGAAGAAUAAGCUCCGGCUAACUACGUGCCAGCCGCUGC